GAUGAAGAACGCAGCGAAAUGCGAUAAGUAGUGUGAAUUGCAGAAUUCCGUGAAUCAUCGAAUCUUUGAACGCACAUUGCGCCCCCUGGUAUUCCGGGGGGCAUGCCUGUUCGAGCGUCAUUUCACCACUCAAGCCUCGCUUGGUAUUGGGCAACGCGGUCCGCCGCGUGCCUCAAAUCGUCCGGCUGGGUCUUCUGUCCCCUAAGCGUUGUGGAAACUAUUCGCUAAAGGGUGUUCGGGAGGCUACGCCGUAAAACAACCCCAUUUCUAAGGUUGACCUCGGAUCAGGUAGGGAUACCCGCUGAACUUAAGCAUAUCAAUAAGCGGAGGA
rnacentral:misc_RNA from 1 species